CUCCCCGUUCGUGCUUCCGUGAGGAGAAAGAGCUUCUUGCGCGCGGCGUGGGAGAUAUGGAAGGAGGAGGGCAGUACAAUCCUCGGACUGUGGAGGAGUUCUUCAGGGAUUUCAAGGGUCAUCGAGCCGGUAUGAUCAAAGCUCUAACCACUGAUGUCGAGGAAUUCUAUCAGCAGUGCGAUCCGGGUUAGGGUUCUGAUCCGCUUACUCUGUAUUAUAGUUAGAACUUUAUCGGGGAAAAAUAAAUAAAGAAUAUGGUAUUGCAUUGCUUGAUGUCAGACAUUUUGCUGUGGCAGUAGAUUUCACUGUCUCGCGAGUUCUUUGUAAUGGAGAUGUUUUUGCAAGUUUGGUUCUUGAGCUUAAUGAUGCAGUUUUUUUCUCCUUUUGGGA